GGACUUGCCAUGAAUGAAUUGAAAGUUUUUGUAAAUUUAACUGAUAAAUUAUUAAAGUUGGUACUUAAAUAUAGGUAUUUUGUUAAGUGAUUUUUUAUGAUUUUAAUGUUUAAGGAUUUAUUUGUGAAAAUGAUAAAAGUUAAGUUAAAUAUUGUGAAAUGAUGGAAAAUAUGGGUUGCUUAGAAUCUCCAUAAAAUUUUUCUAACAUGAAUUUUUUUCUAAUUGUGGUUAAUUUG
rnacentral:lncRNA from 1 species